CUGAACCAGCCAAGUAGCGUGAAGGAUGAAGGGUCCUACGGAUUGUAAACUUCUUUUAUACGGGAAUAAAGUAUCCUACGUGUAGGAUUUUGUAUGUACCGUAUGAAUAAGCAUCGGCUAACUCCGUGCCAGCAGCCGCGGUAAUACGGAGGAUGCGAGCGUUAUCCGGAUUUAUUGGGUUUAAAGGGAGCGCAGACGGGUCGUUAAGUCAGUUGUGAAAGUUUGCGG
rnacentral:rRNA from 1 species